rnacentral:rRNA from 1 species
UUCACUACGGAAUAGCUCUUGGAAACGAGUGGUAAUACCGUAUACGCCCUUCGGGGGAAAGAUUUAUCGGUGAAAGAUCGGCCCGCGUUAGAUUAGCUAGUUGGUAGGGUAAUGGCCUACCAAGGCGACGAUCUAUAGCUGGUCUGAGAGGAUGAUCAGCCACACUGGGACUGAGACACGGCCCAGACUCCUACGGGAGGCAGCAGUGGGGAAUCUUGCACAAUGGGCGAAAGCCUGAUGCAGCCAUGCCGCGUGAAUGAUGAAGGCCUUAGGGUUGUAAAAUUCUUUCGCUAGGGAUGAUAAUGACAGUACCUAGUAAAGAAGCCCCGGCUAACUUCGUGCCAGCAGCCGCGGUAAUACGAAGGGGGCUAGCGUUGUUCGGAAUUACUGGGCGUAAAGCGCACGUAGGCGGACUUUUAAGUCAGAUGUGAAAUCCCGGGGCUCAACCUCGGAACUGCAUUUGAAACUGGAAGUCUAGAGACCAGGAGAGGUUAGCGGAAUACCGAGUGUAGAGGUGAAAUUCGUAGAUAUUCGGUGGAACACCAGUGGCGAAGGCGGCUAACUGGACUGGUACUGACGCUGAGGUGCGAAAGUGUGGGGAGCAAACAGGAUUAGAUACCCUGGUAGUCCACACCGUAAACGAUGAGAGCUAGUUGUUGGCAGGCAUGCCUGUCGGUGACGCAGCUAACGC